CGUUCUGCUCUCUCUUAUCUCCUCUCUACUUCAUUAUCUCUUCGACUCUGUUUGUCUGGAUAUUUCAAUCCGACCAUCAACUAUCAUUUCAACUAUGGCGUUAAGAGAUGAAAAUUUCUGAUGUUUUCUAGGAAGCAAUUUAUACCCGUCAGGUGCUUUCAUUAUACCGGGGCCUUGGGACAAAGAACCUGCAGUUCUUUAUUUCACAGUUCAUCUACUUCUAUGGAUACAGUUUUUUUAAGAGUUUGUACUUGAACAAAAGUGGAACUUGUACAGUCAUAGCGACACAGAAAGAUAAAGGGUAGACAAAUGAAGAGAACCAAGAAUGCUCGAAAGAAGAAAGCUAUAGUAACAGCUAUAUCGAAAAGAGAGAAGGUUGUUGCAAAAGUAUUGAAGCAUGAAAGCAAAACCUUGAGAACUUAAUCCGCAAAAUUGCUAGACGACUAAGGAUGCUGAUCGAGCAUAUUGUUUCUUAUUUUAGGAUUUAGAUUCAUCUGUCUUUUUGUUAUCCCUGUUUCAGUUCCUCUUUUGUUAUAAUAUAUAACAUGGUUUCAAGCA